GAAUAAUAUCAAAACAUUGUGAGGCACGAGAUCCAUGAGAGGGAAAAGGUAGAGUUUUACUUUUGUCAAGUUUGCAUGUAGUGCAAUCAAAAGAAAGUUUAGACGAACAUGUUUUAUUACCUAAUAAAUUAGAAUUAAAUAAAGUGCGAAGUACAUAUGAGUUUGGGUGGCCUAAACGUUUGUGCCACAAUUUAUUAUCAGUACUAAUGGUAUUACAUGCAAAUGAAAGUAAAGGAGAACUAUGCAAGGGAAAGAGUCGUCCCACUUUAAGCCCCUUCGCGAUCAUCUUCCUCGACAUCUGAUCCUGCACAACACAAUCAAAACGAGAGAAAUGAACAUUAUAAUUACUAUCAACUAAUUGACCAACCAAAAUUAAAUUUGUAGAAAGAUUGGUAGACACAAAAACAUUAGUUAAGGAAUUUGAAAGAUCACCAGUAGUUUUGAUAGGCAGAGAACUACCAUUAGUAGUAUGAAUUUUUAGAUUCCCAUUGUAUUCUUUCACAUUAGAAAGAGGAAUAACGGUCUUGCUCAUAUGAUUAGAAGCUCCAGAGUCGAAGAACCAUGGUUUAGACCAAGUUUUUAUGAGUACCUGAUAGUCCAAAAGUAGAGAAAGCAGAAUUGAUCAUCUGUUGUACCAUUUCAGGGGUGAGGGUGGAUGCAGAAGCAGGAUUUGGAACAAUGUGCAAAGCAGUAGGUAAUGCUGCAAAGCUAGAGGCAUGAUAGGCGGUAGUAUGCCUCUUUUCUGGCCCAAUGGGACAAACAGAGAUGUGAUGACCUUGUUUCUUGCAAUAGUUAUAGUAUUUCUUAGGACAAUCCCGAGAAAUGUGACCAAAGGCUUUACAAUUAUAGCACUGGACAGCACGCAUGUCACAACCCUUAUUCCUUCCUUGUGCUGCAUAAGCCACAUGAGCACUGAUAGUAUCCCUAUGCUCCAUGGCAGCCUGAGUAACUAGACGUUGCUCCUCACAAAGAAGUUCACCCAAACAAGUAUCUAGAGAUGGUACAGGUUGACGAUUCAUCAGAUUGGACCGUGCAGCCUCAAAUUAGGGGCGUAGCUUCAUCAAGAAUUGAUCCCUCUUGCUUGUCUCAUGCACUGUUUGAACAGCAGAUAGGGCUGCCGCGGGAACAUUAGCAUAAACUAUAUCUGAAUAUUCAGUCCAAAGAUUUUGAAAACCUGAAAAGUAUUCUUCAAUCGAAAGACUUCCUUGUGUGAAAUUAGCCAUCUCAUACUCUAAUUGAAAUCGUCGAGCCGUGUUGUCUUGUUUGUAAACCUUACUAAUGUAAUCCCACAUAACAGCAAUAGUUUUGUAAGGUCUCAGAUUGAGAAUAAGACGCGGUUCGACUGAACUAAGAAUCCAAGUCAUAACUUGAGCAUUCUUAAUUUCCCACUUCGACAAAGCCUCAACAUCUUUAGGAGUGGGAUCACUACCAUCAAGAUGUCCCCACAACUCUUUUCCUUUCACAAAUAAUUGGAAUUGGAAUUCCCAAGACAAGUAAUUUUUCCAUUGAAGCGGAUAAUAAAUGAGUCUAACUUAUCAAAUGACAUGAUGAAUAAAAUAUUCAACCAAAUGAAGAACCCAUAACAAAAAAUAAAAAUAAAAAAAUAAACCACGUGCUGAAACUAAAAUAAAAUAACGAGCCAAAAUUGAAACAACUAAGUGAGCCACAGACAGCAAUUAAUCCACGCCCAACACGCAGAAGAACAAUCGAACCUGAAAUACGCAGACGGGUGACAGAACCCAUACGCCCAAAACCCGAAAUGGAGAUCUCCCGGAGAGGCACCAACAAUGGUCCCCAAUACACCGAAUGAGGCGAGAUUCAUAGCAAGUAAGAGCUUAGAACCCUAGCUCUGAUACCAUGACAAAAAGACCGAACAAAUUGCCUGAAAUUUCUGUCAAAACUUGCCUUUACAUUGUGUUGUGUAUAGUAUAUAUAUUUACAAUUAUUUGAUCUAAAAGGAAACUAAAUAAAUUAAAGAUACAAUUCUUGAAAAUUAGCAACAAAUCAUUCUCCCAAAUAUUCGCCGUUAUAUAUGGUAACACAACCUAUAUAAUGGUCUUGCACUCUUUGAAAAAUCAUCGAUAAACCUUCGACAAUAUCCUGCAUGUACAAGAAAAGAACGAAUCUCCCUCAAACAUGUUGGAGGAAGAAAAGAAAGAAUUAAAUCAAUUUUAGAUUUAUCAACUUCUAUCCCCUUGGAUGAAAUGACAUGGCCUAAAGUUGGAAUUGCUUUGCAUUACUUAAUUUCUAAUUUUAAUGUAACGAAGUCUUGAAGAAAUUUAAGACUAACCAUUAACAAAAUAAAUUAAAACUUCUGUCCUUAUGAGCUAUUAAUCAAGAUGAUAUAUCGAAAGUGUAAUCAACUCUACAUCCUGAAAACAAGAUAUCUUGUUACCUAGAUUGAAUAAUCCAGGUACAUAGAAUAUAUUAGUUAAAGGAAGGAAAAAGAACUAAAUAUAGAGAAAAGGCCAAUACAUAAAAAACCAGCAUCCUCUAACCUCACCAGGUUUUAGUGCAGGGAAGUAGCCCAGGUACUUCAUUGUUGUAGUCUCAUAACACUGGACUUUAUCAGUUUGUCUUCUUGAAGGUAUCAAAAUGAAAAUUCAGUCACAAAUUGAGAAGAUACUAACUUGUACUAUCUACGAUAGAAGUACUCUAAAGCCCUAUUUGAACUACAUUCUUUCAAAAAAAAUAUUUUUAAAUAGUGAUUUGACAUCAUUUCAACCACACAUUCUUCAAUAAAAUAAUAUUACACGCAAAUUCAAAAAUUUUCCUUAUUUUUUAAUCAUACAUUUUCCAUCAAUACACCAUUCAAAAAUGCGUUCUUAUAGAAAUAAUGUGACUAAAACAAGGGCUAUAUUAACUUAGAAAAAAAUCCUUAUGUAGCAUACAAACACAAGUGCCAAAUUAAGACAAUCCCAAAGGUGAAUAAAUUCUUCUCCAAUUUUUACUUUAAGCCAUCAUUGUCAUGUAAAAAAAAAAAAAAAAUAUCAUAGUUACUAGAACUUAUUGUUUUGUGGUAUAAAUAGAGCAACAGAUGGUUUAUACUGUUUGUAAUAAAAUCAGAUUAAGUUCCACAGUAGAAAAAGAAUAAUGAAUAUACAAUGUAAAAACAUUCACUAAGUGUUUUCUCUUCCUUUCAUUCUAUCAGAAAAGGAAGUUCAUGUUUAGCUAAUUUAUUUAAUGGUAAAAGAGAAGUUCUAUGUAUGACUUGGUGAAAGUAUAAACAAAUGAUUUGAAUUGGCAAUAAGUUAUGUGUCUCAACAGAUAACAUAAUUUUGCCAAUAUACUUAAAAUUAAAAGAAAGGUUUUACUAAUGAGCACAGUGAAACAAGUUUGAUACAAAAUUUAAAGGUGAUUUUAGACUAAAUUUAAGCUUAACAAAGCAUGCUUGAAGUCCCAUUCAUCACUAAUGAAAUCAACACCUUGUUUUAAUGGUUUUCUUUUAUUUUUUUGGAAUAUCUGAUAGAAUCAAAGCUAAUAUCAGAAUUUGUUUAAUAUCUUAAUAUUUCAUUCGACGCAAAUAAAAAUACAUAAAGGAAAUAAGUAGUUCAAAUAAAGUUUAUCUAAUAGAAGGUAAAAGUCACACCAUUUAAAGAAAAUUACUUAUCCUAGUAGCAAAAUAAACAGUGUUUAAAAAACUUAAAAAGAUGAAGCUAUUUUCCUUUGUUUGAUUCCCAUCAUCCAACACUUUAAUCAUCCAAUUCAUAGAAAACUCAGUCACCAAUGCACAUAAAUUAUUUUCAUGAUUAGUUCUGCCCUAACUUUUAUACAUAUAAAAACUGAUAAUUUAAAAAGCUACAGAAAGUCAAAUUUUGUAAAUAUCCAAUUGAGAGAAAUGUUAAACACAAUCUUAAAUGAACUUACAAUAUAGUAUAGUUAUUAAGCAGCUGCAAAAUUUUAUACACAAAUUCUAAUGGUUUAAAAAAGUGAGAGAAACAGAAAUUUAGCAGAACUCUUGUUUUCUUCAUUUCCUAAACCUUUAGUUGCAUUUCAAUAGAAAUAGAUAAUCAAGUAGUCUAUGAGUGUGUCCCCAGCAUUCAUAUAGAUUCACUUUUUAACACACAAAAUCUAUACAAAAUUGAAAAAAUAAAAAACAAAGAACACAUAAGCAGAGUAAGUAGAAUAGAGCUGAACCAUUAGAUGCAUCAACAUCAAUAGCGGUACGUUGGAAGGGAUGAGCAUAAGGGAGAAUCUAAACAUAGCGUAUGUAAAUUCGAGUAGCAAAAAAGGCCACCAUAACACCAUCAUAUCUGAAUCACAACACUAUUUAUCCUAAAAGGACAAUCAGAAAUCAUAAAGAAAACUAUAAUAAACACUCCAAGUGGAAAUUGCUUGAAUAAAUCAUUUAAGCUUCAAAGAAAAUUAAAGAAAUUACUCACAACAGAAAUUGAAAAGUGGAGAACAAAAAGAAUGAAAAAUAGAAGAAGUAUUUUACAUGAAGGAAAAAGAUUCAGACAAAAUGAAAAGAACCAGACCCUAAAAUUAAAUCUAUGGAUUGAGAUGAGGAAGAAGACGAAGCUCUCUACUAUUGCAAAGUGUUGUUCUGCUCCAUUUUAGGUACAACAAUGACAAUUUCCCCAGCAAAUGACAUGGUUAGCAUUAAAAGAACCCCUUGCAAGGGAAGUUCAUAAAAAUAAAAAUUAAAAAAUAAUACAUAUAUGAUAAAGUGAUUUCCUUACGGAGGCUCUCUGAAUGAAUCAUUUAAUUUCUGCUGAGCCUCUCUCUGUAAAAACCUAGAAAAAAAAAAUUGAAUUGAAGCGAAAUUCAUAUAUAUGCGUAACAAAAUUGGAGAAAGAGUGAAACCUAUAGAUAAAACACGAGUAUGUCCAGUUUCAAUAGCUUAUUUACUAUUGAUCUAAGAAAGAACCUAAAGUUGUACAUAGGUAAAUAUUCCAAAUCAAAGAAUUGAAACAAUUGAGGCAAAAUACAAUUAAAAUGGAGAACGAAGAUUGAAUAAAAGAAAUGGAAAGUAAGAGUUAGUUGAAACAUACAAAAGAUUUUAAGGUAAACCCAAGAAUCGAACGGCCAAAAAUUCAUUUCCAAAGAGGAAGUUAGCCAAAGAGAAUGGAAAUAUGAAAUUAACAUAUUUGAAUUCGUACUCUCCGAUUUCUAUUCAAGUGGUGGUGUUUUU
rnacentral:lncRNA from 1 species